AUUGAACGCUGGCGGCAGGCCUAACACAUGCAAGUCGAGCGGUAGCGGGAAAGUAGCUUGCUACUUUUGCCGGCGAGCGGCGGACGGGUGAGUAAUGCCUGGGAAAUUGCCCAGUCGAGGGGGUUAACAGUUGGAAACGACUGCUAAUACCGCAUACGCCCUACGGGGGAAAGCAGGGGACCUUCGGGCCUUGCGCGAUUGGAUAUGCCCAGGUGGGAUUAGCUAGUUGGUGAGGUAAUGGCUCACCAAGGCGACGAUCCCUAGCUGGUCUGAGAGGAUGAUCAGCCACACUGGAACUGAGACACGGUCCAGACUCCUACGGGAGGCAGCAGUGGGGAAUAUUGCACAAUGGGGGAAACCCUGAUGCAGCCAUGCCGCGUGUGUGAAGAAGGCCUUCGGGUUGUAAAGCACUUUCAGCGAGGAGGAAAGGUUGAUGCCUAAUACGUAUCAACUGUGGCGUUACUCGCAGAAGAAGCACCGGCUAACUCCGUGCCAGCAGCCGCAGUAA
rnacentral:rRNA from 1 species